rnacentral:rRNA from 1 species
UCGGGAAUUUUGGGCAAUAGGGGAAACCCUGACCCAGCAACGCCGCGUGAAGGAUGAAGUAUUUCGGUAUGUAAACUUCGAAAGAAUAGGAAGAAUAAAUGACGGUACUAUUUAUAAGGUCCGGCUAACUACGUGCCAGCAGCCGCGGUAAUACGUAGGGACCAAGCGUUGUUCGGAUUUACUGGGCGUAAAGGGCGCGUAGGCGGCAUGACAAGUCACUUGUGAAAUCUCUGGGCUUAACCCAGAACGGCCAAGUGAUACUGUCGCGCUAGAGUGCAGAAGGGGCAAUCGGAAUUCUUGGUGUAGCGGUGAAAUGCGUAGAUAUCAAGAGGAACACCUGAGGUGAAGACGGGUUGCUGGGCUGACACUGACGCUGAGGCGCGAAAGCCAGGGGAGCAAACGGGGAUUAGAUACCCUCGUAGUCCCUGAGCGGGCUGGCAAGGCGCAU